CCUGUUUGAUCCUGCCAGUUGUCAUCUGCCUCUCUCAAGGACUAAGCCAAGCAAGUGUCAGAGUACAUGGGAUCGAGAGUAAAUGUGUGAAUGGCUUAUUACACUAGCGACAGUGUG
rnacentral:rRNA from 1 species